UAAGCCAUGCAUGUCUAAGUAUAAGCACUUGUACUGUGAAACUGCGAAUGGCUCAUUAAAUCAGUUAUCGUUUAUUUGAUUGUACCUUACUACAUGGAUACCUGUGGUAAUUCUAGAGCUAAUACAUGCGAAAAGUCCCGACUUCUGGAAGGGAUGUAUUUAUUAGAUUAAAAACCAAUGCGAGUCUUCGGGCUCGUUUUCUUGGUGAUUCAUGAUAACUUUUCGAAUCGCAUGGCCUAGAGCCGGCGAUAUUUCAUUCAAAUUUCUGCCCUAUCAACUGUCGAUGGUAAGGUAGUGGCUUACCAUGGUUAUAACGGGUGACGGAGAAUUAGGGUUCGAUUCCGGAGAGGGAGCCUGAGAAACGGCUACCACAUCUAAGGAAGGCAGCAGGCUCGAAAAUUACCCAAUCCCGACUCGGGGAGGUAGUGACAAGAAAUAACGAUACGGGGUCUUAAUAGGUCUCGCAAUUGGAAUGAGUACAAUUUAAAUCCUUUAACGAGGAUCAAUUGGAGGGCAAGUCUGGUGCCAGCAGCCGCGGUAAUUCCAGCUCCAAUAGCGUAUAUUAAAGUUGUUGCAGUUAAAAAGCUCGUAGUUGGAUUUCUGUUGAGGACGACCGGUCCGCCCUCUGGGUGAGCAUCUGGCUCGGCCUUGGCAUCUUCUUGGUGAACGUAGCUGCACUUGACUGUGUGGUACGGUAACCAGGACUUUUACUUUGAGGAAAUUAGAAUGUUUCAAGCAGGCAUACGCCUUGAAUACAUUAGCAUGGAAUAAUAAGAUAGGACCUCGGUUCUAUUUUGUUGGUUUCUAGAGCUGAGGUAAUGAUUAAUAGGGAUAGUUGGGGGCAUUCGUAUUUAACUGUCAGAGGUGAAAUUCUUGGAUUUGUUAAAGACGAACUACUGCGAAAGCAUUUGCCAAGGAUGUUUUCAUUGAUCAGAACGAAAGUUAGGGGAUCGAGAC
rnacentral:rRNA from 1 species